GUCUACGGCCAUGCCACACUGAACAAGCCUGACGUCUGAUCUCAGGAGCUAAGCAGGGUCGGGCCUGGUUAGGACUUUGAUAGGUGACCACCUAGGAAGAUCAGGUGCUGUAGGCA
rnacentral:rRNA from 1 species